rnacentral:rRNA from 1 species
GACGAACGCUGGCGGCGUGCCUAACACAUGCCAGUCGAACGGAAAGGCCCUGCUUUUGUGGGGUGCUCGAGUGGCGAACGGGUGAGUAACACGUGAGUAACCUGCCCUUGACUUUGGGAUAACUUCAGGAAACUGGGGCUAAUACCGGAUAGGAGCCCCUGCUGCAUGGUGGGGGUUGGAAAGUUUCGGCGGUUGGGGUUGGACGCGCGGCUUAUCAGCUUGUUGGUGGGGGAGUGGCUUACCAAGGCUUGGACGGUUAGCCGGCCUGAGAGGGUGACCGGCCACAGUGGGACUGAGGGAGGGCCCGGAGGGCAACGGGAGGCAUCGGUGGGAAAUUUUGCACGAUGGGCGGAGUGCGGAUGGAACGACGCCGGGUGGGGGAUGACUGCUUUCGGGGAAGAAAGCGCGUGAGCCUGUAACGAAGCGUGAGUGACGGUAAUGUGUAAAGAAGCACCGGCUAACUACGUG